GCUUCACAGCUUUGUCUGUUUGCUGAGUUUCAUCACCAUGGUCCAUGUUCAAGUUCCCUACAAAAACACUGUUUUUGUGUCCCUCUGACAAAUUAUUAACUUUUGGUCUCUUCUCAUUGCUAUCCAAAGUCAUAUGGUUAUCACCGGCAACAUCAGCACCAGCUUUCUCGUAUAUUUCAGUGGUAGCACUACACUCCCUAGCCCAAAAGGCUUUGUUCUGUGUACUAGUAUUUUUGACUCUGCCAAAUUCAUCACUGCCACUUUCCGGUAACAAUGAUCCAUUUUUCUUUUGAUUAUCAAGAAGCCAGUUUCGACCACCAGUAGCUACUUGACAGACCUCAUGCAUAAUUUCUUUGG
rnacentral:lncRNA from 1 species